AAUUUUGGACAAUGGGGGAAACCCUGAUCCAGCCAUCCCGCGUGUAUGAUGAAGGCCUUCGGGUUGUAAAGUACUUUUGGCAGAGAAGAAAAGGUACCUCCUACUACGAGAUACGGCUGACGGUAGCUGCAGAAUAAGCACCGGCUAACUACGUGCCAGCCGCCGCGGUAAUACGUAGGGUGCAAGCGUUAUUCGGAAUUACUGGGCGUAAAGCGGGUUUAGGCGGUUCGGAAAGAAAGAUGUGAUAUCCCAGGGCUCAACCAUGGAACUGCAUUUUUAACUGCCGAGCUAGAGUAUGUCAGAGGGGGGUAGAAUUCCACGUGUAGCAGUGAAAUGCGUAGAUAUGUGGAGGAAUACCGAUGGCGAAGGCAGCCCCCUGGGAUAAUACUGACGCUCAGACACGAAAGCGUGGGGAGCAAACAGG
rnacentral:rRNA from 1 species